rnacentral:rRNA from 1 species
GACGAACGCUGGCGGCGUGCCUAAUACAUGCAAGUCGAACGCUUCUUUCCUCCCGAGUGCUUGCACUCCAUUGGAAAGAGGAGUGGCGGACGGGUGAGUAACACGUGGGUAACCUACCCAUCAGAGGGGGAUAACACUUGGAAACAGGUGCUAAUACCGCCUAACAGUUUAUGCCGCAUGGCAUAAGAGUGAAAGGCGCUUUCGGGUGUCGCUGAUGGAUGGACCCGCGGUGCAUUAGCUAGUUGGUGAGGUAACGGCUCACCAAGGCCACGAUGCAUAGCCGACCUGAGAGGGUGAUCGGCCACACUGGGACUGAGACACGGCCCAGACUCCUACGGGAGGCAGCAGUAGGGAAUCUUCGGCAAUGGACGAAAGUCUGACCGAGCAACGCCGCGUGAGUGAAGAAGGUUUUCGGAUCGUAAAACUCUGUUGUUAGAGAAGAACAAGGACGUUAGUAACUGAACGUCCCCUGACGGUAUCUAACCAGAAAGCCACGGCUAGCUACGUG